GCAUAGAUAUCACAUAGAACACCGAUCGCGAAGGCAGGUGACCAACCAUGUACUGACGCUGAUGGACGAAAGCGUGGGUAGCGAACGGGAUUAGAUACCCCGGUAGUCCACGCCGUAAACGAUGGAUACUAGCUGUGGGGACUUCGGUCUCCGUGGCCAAGCGAAAGUGAUAAGUAUCCCACCUGGGGAGUACGUUCGCAAGAAUGAAACUCAAAGGAAUUGACGGGGGCCCGCACAAGCGGUGGAGCAUGUGGUUUAAUUCGAUGAUACGCGAGGAACCUUACCAGGGCUUAAAUGCAGGCUGCAUGGGGUAGAGAUACCCCUUUCUUCGGACCGCCUGCAAGGUGCUGCAUGGUUGUCGUCAGCUCGUGCCGUGAGGUGUCAGGUUAAGUCCUAUAACGAGCGCAACCCCUACCGUUAGUUGCCAGCAUGUCAAGAUGGGGACUCUAACGGGACUGCCGGUGCAAACCGUGAGGAAGGUGGGGACGACGUCAAAUCAUCACGGCCCUUACGUCCUGGGCUACACACGUGCUACAAUGGCCGGUACAGAGGGAAGCCACCCCGCAAGGGGGCGCGGAUCUACAAAACCGGUCACAGUUCGGAUCGGGGUCUGCAACUCGACCCCGUGAAGCUGGAAUCGCUAGUAAUCGGAUAUCAGCCAUGAUCCGGUGAAUACGUUCCCGGGCCUUGUACACACCGCCCGUCAAGCC
rnacentral:rRNA from 1 species